rnacentral:tRNA from 1 species
GGUGGCUCAGAGGUAGAGUGCUUGCCUAGCAUGCAUGAGGCCCUGGGUUCAAUUCCUCAGCACCA